GUCCAGGGGCGGGAAUCGAACCCACAACCUUCUGCUUACCGGGCAGGUGCCAUGUCCACUAGGCUACCCUGGU